rnacentral:rRNA from 1 species
UGUCCCAGCCGCCGCGGUAAUACGUAGGGUGCAAGCGUUAUCCGGAAUUAUUGGGCGUAAAGGGCUCGUAGGCGGUUCGUCGCGUCCGGUGUGAAAGUCCAUCGCUUAACGGUGGAUUCGCGCCGGGUACGGGCGGGCUUGAGUGCGGUAGGGGAGACUGGAAUUCCCGGUGUAACGGUGGAAUGUGUAGAUAUCGGGAAGAACACCAAUGGCGAAGGCAGGUCUCUGGGCCGUUACUGACGCUGAGGAGCGAAAGCGUGGGGAGCGAACAGGAUUAGAUACCCUGGUAGUCCACGCCGUAAACGGUGGAUGCUGGAUGUGGGGCCCGUUCCACGGGUUCCGUGUCGGAGCUAACGCGUUAAGCAUCCCGCCUGGGGAGUACGGCCGCAAGGCUAAAACUCAAAGAAAUUGACGGGGGCCCGCACAAGCGGCGGAGCAUGCGGAUUAAUUCGAUGCAACGCGAAGAACCUUACCUGGGCUUGACAUGUUCCCGACGAUCCCAGAGAUGGGGUUUCCCUUCGGGGCGGGUUCACAGGUGGUGCAUGGUCGUCGUCAGCUCGUGUCGUGAGAUGUUGGGUUAAGUCCCGCAACGAGCGCAACCCUCGCCCCGUGUUGCCAGCGGAUUGUGCCGGGAACUCACGGGGGACCGCCGGGGUUAACUCGGAGGAAGGUGGGGAUGACGUCAGAUCAUCAUGCCCCUUACGUCCAGGGCUUCACGCAUGCUACAAUGGCCGGUACAACGGGAUGCGACGCGGCGACGCGGAGCGGAUCCCUGAAAACCGGUCUCAGUUCGGAUCGCAGUCUGCAACUCGACUGCGUGAAGGCGGAGUCGCUAGUAAUCGCGAAUCAGCAACGUCGCGGUGAAUGCGUUCCCGGGCCUUGUACACACCGCCCGUCAAGUCAUGAAAGUGGGCAGCACCCGAAGCCGGUGGCCUAACCCCUUGUGGGAUGGAGCCGUCUAAGGUGAGGCUCGUGAUUGGGACUAAGUCGUAACAAGGUAACCAAUCGA